CAAUCCUGCUCAGAUGUCCUCCAGGCUGGCAUCCUCAUGAACAAAUCCUGUGACACUGCAGGGUUCCUUCCUUGGCCCAAGGGCAAUUGUAAGAGGUCAAACAAAUUGACUUGCAUGUUGGCCUUCCCUUGUCUUGCCCUGGCUGAGAUGUUGGGAUGGAGUAAAGCUGACCAGGUGGGGACUGGAAGGAGGGAAAAGACCCCCAGUGGGUGGUGGUGAGCUGAGCACUGCCGAUGACAGUGCCUGGGGAGGGCAGGGCUUUGGUUAACAGCUAUGGCCAUAUAUUCUUCCCUCUACCACACACAUUUGUGGGGACCAGUUCAGGCCAGGCAGCUAGGUGGGGUUGUGAGGUAACUGUGCCUGGUCACCAGGGAGCUCCUGGUUUGGGGGAGGGGGUCCACAGGCCAGUACAUAGUAACCCCGGCAUUGUGGGCUUUCCAGGAGGUCCCAUGGGAUGACUGGGGUGGCAGUGGGGACACUUCUUCCUGAGUGUUUCUCAAAGCAGGAGAGCCUGAGUAGUGGGGGGUGAACAGGGAAGUGGUGUGUGCUGGAAAAUGCAUAAUCCCAGGCCUCCCCCAGACUUCCUGACAAGUGUGUGGGGUGGGGCUCAGGACUCCAGGUUACACACCCUUAGGUGACUUCUGUAAACCUACAGGUUUUAGUAUGAAAAUUGCAUUUUUUUUUAUUUUCCCACUGUACAGCAAGGGGGUCAGGUUAUCCUUACAUGUAUACAUUGCAAUUACAGUUUUUCCCCCACUCUUUCUUCUGUUGCAACAUGAGUAUCUAGACAUAGUUCUCAAUGCUAUUCAGCAGCAUCUCCUUGUUAGGGAAGUUUCUGAUAGGGUUCUUGUCUUGUGUGCUUGCCCCUUCUUCAGGGCUGUGUGGAAAAGAUUGGGAGCUGGCUGAGGAGCAAUGUGCUGGUGGCAGCUGCAGCAGCCCUGGGCAUUGCCUUUGUGGAGGUCCUGGGUAUUGUCUUUGCUUGCUGCCUUGUGAAGAGCAUCCGAAGUGGCUACGAGGGGAUGUAGGGGGUCUGGUCUCUUCAGCCCCCUCAUCCAGGAGAGUGGGCUAGUAUACUCCAGGUUUUUCAAUUAAACGGAUUAUUUUUUCAGACCGAAAAGAGAGAGCGUGUCUGUUUGUCUUCAAGAGUGAUACCUUAUUCCUUCCCUCUCCUGAUCUGUGUUCCUGUCCUUUGGGACC
rnacentral:lncRNA from 1 species